GAUGAACGCUGGCGGCGUGCCUAAUACAUGCAAGUCGAGCGAACAGACGAGGAGCUUGCUCCUCUGACGUUAGCGGCGGACGGGUGAGUAACACGUGGAUAACCUACCUAUAAUACUGGGAUAACUUCGGGAAACCGGAGCUAAUACCGGAUAAUAUAUUGAACCGCAUGGUUCAAUAGUGAAAGACGGUUUUGCUGUCACUUAUAGAUGGAUCCGCGCCGCAUUAGCUAGUUGGUAAGGUAACGGCUUACCAAGGCGACGAUGCGUAGCCGACCUGAGAGGGUGAUCGGCCACACUGGAACUGAGACACGGUCCAGACUCCUACGGGAGGCAGCAGUAGGGAAUCUUCCGCAAGGGGCGAAAGCCUGACGGAGCAACGACGCGUGAGUGAUGAAGGUCGUCGGAUCGGAAAACUCUGUUAUUAGGGAAGAACAAAUGUGUAAGUAACUAUGCACGUCUUGACGGAACCUAAUCAGAAAGCCACGGCUAACUACG
rnacentral:rRNA from 1 species